rnacentral:rRNA from 1 species
AUACGGAGGAUCCGAGCGUUAUCCGGAUUUAUUGGGUUUAAAGGGUGCGCAGGCGGCCAUUUAAGUCAGCGGUUAAAUCGUGGGGCUCAACCCCAUUCUGCCGUUGAUACUGGGUGGCUUGAUUGCGGUCGAGGUUGGCGGAAUUCGUUGUGUAGCGGUGAAAUGCAUAGAUAUGACGAAGAACACCGAUUGCGUAGGCAGCUGACCAGACCGCAAAUGACGCUCAUGCACGAAAGUGCGGGGAUCGAACAGGAUUAGGUACCCUGGUAGUCCGCACAGUAAACGAUGAAUACUUGUUUUCGGCGAUAUAAUGUCGGAGGCAAAGCGAAAGCGAUAAGUAUUCCACCUGGGGAGUACGCCGGCAACGGUGAAACUCAAAGGAAUUGACGGGG